GGGGGCAUGGUGAAAUUGGUAAACACAACAGACUUAAAAUCUGUCGGCUGAAUAAGCCUUCCCGGUUCAAGUCCGGGUGUCCCCACCA
rnacentral:tRNA from 2 species